GUAACAAGGUCUCCGUUGGUGAACCAGCGGAGGGAUCAUUACCGAGUUUACAACUCCCAAACCCCUGUGAACAUACCAAUUGUUGCCUCGGCGGAUCAGCCCGCUCCCGGUAAAACGGGACGGCCCGCCAGAGGACCCCUAAACUCUGUUUCUAUAUGUAACUUCUGAGUAAAACCAUAAAUAAAUCAAAACUUUCAACAACGGAUCUCUUGGUUCUGGCAUCGAUGAAGAACGCAGCAAAAUGCGAUAAGUAAUGUGAAUUGCAGAAUUCAGUGAAUCAUCGAAUCUUUGAACGCACAUUGCGCCCGCCAGUAUUCUGGCGGGCAUGCCUGUUCGAGCGUCAUUUCAACCCUCAAGCCCAGCUUGGUGUUGGGACUCGCGAGUCAAAUCGCGUUCCCCAAAUUGAUUGGCGGUCACGUCGAGCUUCCAUAGCGUAGUAGUAAAACCCUCGUUACUGGUAAUCGUCGCGGCCACGCCGUUAAACCCCAACUUCUGAAUGUUGACCUCGGAUCAGGUAGGAAUACCCGCUGAACCUAAGCAUAUCA
rnacentral:misc_RNA from 1 species